rnacentral:snoRNA from 1 species
AACCCCAUUCCUUACUCAUCAGAUCUAAACACUGGUAAGAGUGGUUAUAAAAGGAGAAAAAGGAAAAUGGAUACUGAUUUAAAUUCUCUUUUUUUUUUUUACUUAAAUUCUUUUGUGACACACAAGCUAGUUUCAAACAACA